rfam:Triticum aestivum genome assembly, contig: Triticum_aestivum_CS42_TGACv1_scaffold_148216_2BS
GUAGUACUCCCUCCGUUCGGAAAUACUUGUCAUCAAAACGGAUAAAAGGGGUGUAUCUAGACGCAUUUUAGUUUGAGAUACAUCUCUUUUUAUCCAUUUUGAUGACAAGUAUUUUCGGGCGGAGGGAGUACUUA